CGUGUAGGCGGGACGGCACGUCGGUCGCUGAAAUCCCCCGGCUUAACCGGGGAACGGGCGCCGAUACGACCGCCCUGGAGGGACGUAGGGGGACCUGGAACUUCCGGUGGAGCGGUGAAAUGCGUUGAGAUCGGAAGGAACGCCCGUGGCGAAAGCGAGGUCCUGGACGUUUUCUGACGCUGAGACGCGAAAGCCAGGGGAGCGAACG
rnacentral:rRNA from 1 species